rnacentral:rRNA from 1 species
GACGAACGCUGGCGGCGCGCCUAACACAUGCAAGUCGAACGAGUCGGAACCCCGUUCGGGGGUGAAGCUAGUGGCGGACGGGUGAGUAACACGUGAGGAACCUGCCUUUCAGAGUGGGAUACCGUUUGGAAACGAACGUUAAUACCGCAUAACGUACAAUUGUCGCAUGGCGAACGUACCAAAGAUUUAUCGCUGAGAGAUGGCCUUGCGUCUGAUUAGAUAGUUGGUGAGGUAACGGCCCACCAAGUCUGCGAUCAGUAGCCGGACUGAGAGGUUGAUCGGCCACAUUGGGACUGAGACACGGCCCAGACUCCUACGGGAGGCAGCAGUGGGGGAUAUUGCACAAUGGGCGAAAGCCUGAUGCAGCGACGCCGCGUGAGGGAAGACGGUUUUCGGAUUGUAAAGUUCUAUCAGCAGGGAAGAUAAUGACGGUACCUGACUAAGAAGCACCGGCUAAAUACGUG